GCGCACCUCCAGGACUUCCGGAAAGCUGUCACAAAGCACAGGGAGCUGGCGCACACCCAGGCAGUGCGGCCCACUCCAGUUGAGGCGUAGAGCACCCAGCACCUUCCUGAGCUGCUCUUUCAAAGCCCAGAUAGUGCUUGUCUAUCUAGCACCCCCUUCAAGCUACACCCUAAACCUGUACCGUGCUCUACCUUAGAGACUCAGGGUCGUCCAGGAAGUCCUCUGCCACCCGCUUGUACAGGGACUGCUGGCUGGGAGGCAUGGGGCUGCUGGAGCGGAAGCUGUCCAUCUGCUCACGGCUGGAUGUGGAAGUCAGGUCCCACCACAGCCGGGACUGGUGGACGGUGGGCAGAGAGGGACAGCACAGAGAAGAAAGGAGAGGGGGACAGUUCCCACUUGGCUGACAAACACAUCCAAGCGUCAGUUGCUGAUAACAACCCUGCUCCAAGUGACUAUGAGUCCUGAACCUGCUGAAACUGAUGUGGACCAGUCCAGCCAUGAUGAAAUUGAAGCUCAAUUGGUACCGUGUGUGUGGGACAGAAAUAUGCUGAUCUUGAUAUUGCUGCUGAUAGUCCAGAAAAGCCAGAGUAAGACCAAUUGGGCCUAAGUUCCUGAUCCACCUAUUUUACAUCCUGCUGUUUGGGAAGGAAAGGAGAUUGUGGUCACAGUCAACCAGACACGUCUUUCAGAUUGAGCUGCCACACAACAGCUUCUGAUUUCUUGAAAUUUUCUCAUGUUGGAUAUGGCAAAGGAAUUCCUGUAUGUUUAGCAAAGAAUAUUUGCCUUAGAGGGAUGUCUCGGAGUGUUCCCAAAAUUAAUUGUGGAACAUGAUAAACAUUGCACUUAUUAUACAAAGUUAUUGCUUCCUCAGGUAAUUGAGUAAGUGAUACUUCACCCUCUCAACCAUUUCCUCCAUGCAUGAAGGAACCGAGAGAGUCAAAUAGAACACUGUUGUGGAGAUGAUGCACUGGCAUUAUCCCAUUAAAGUACAACAUCACAGGGAAGCCACAGUACAUUCUGGACUGGUCUGGGAAUCAAGAAGAUUAUAGCGACUCUUAUCCUUUGUCUACAGCAGAAUAUUGGGACCAAGGACUGUCAGCUGGAGUUUGGUAUUCCAGUACAAAAUUUCCACAGACUUACGUUUGGAAACUUGCUGCCGCCAUGGGAACAGUGGCAGGACAACCCAGUUCUUCAAAACCUGUUUGCCCCCUGAAAGGAACCAUUUGGGCUUGUAUGAA